UACGUAGGGGGCAAGCGUUGUCCGGAUUUAUUGGGCGUAAAGAGCGUGUAGGCGGCCAAGCAGGUCCGCUGUGAAAACUCGAGGCUCAACCUCGAGACGUCGGUGGAAACCGUUUGGCUAGAGUCCGGAAGAGGAGAGUGGAAUUCCCGGUGUAGCGGUGAAAUGCGUAGAUAUCAGGAGGAACACCGGUGGUGUAGACGGCUUUCUGGACCGUAACUGACGCUGAGACACGAAAGCGUGGGUAGCAAACAGG
rnacentral:rRNA from 1 species